UCUCUCUCAUCAAAACCUCUCACUCUCUCUCCUCCAUUGAUGCGCCGUCGUCGAUAUGAUGUGCUCACUCUUUCCUUCCGCCGCUAACACCUAUUCCGAUUUUCUUCCACCGCUGCCGACGAUAUGCUGUCGAAAAAUACUGUACUUCUUCGCCGAUCUAUUAGUGUUCUUCGUCGCGACGCUUGAGAGGCUUCCUACCUACGACGAUCUGUUGUCCAAAUCGAGCGGAGAUUGCUGAUGAUUGCACCGUCUUUCGGCAGAGAGGCAGGGCUUCAAACCGUAGAUCCAAGACUUUUUCUCGUUCUCGCAUUGCCAUUGAAGUUAUGGGAGUGUUGCAAGAGGGAGAGGUGUGCUCAUGGUGCCAAUAAUAUUUUGAAGAAAGCUAUAUUGAUUGGUGUGGAAGGAAAAAGUUAAUAUGAAUGCGCCAACAAAAGAGAAAAAAACGAUUUAGAAAUGGAUGAUGUGGUAUUAAGAGAGGCUCCAAGAAUUGAAGGCGGAAGCAACAAGAAAAAAAAUCUGCAAAUAAGGAAGCCGAUAGAAAGAGAAGAGACCGGUGUAGCGAAAAAAGUGGAAGCCGAAAGGAAGCGGAAAAAUUAGAAGCAUAUAGAAAGAGAAAAUAGGCAGCAACAACUAAAAUAGAGGAAACAUAUAGAAAAUAAAUGACAUGUUCAUUAAAUUACUUUAAAUGUCCAUUUGUUUGUUUAUUAUGUGUGCUUGCAGCUUACUCAAAUAAUGAGAUUUUUUUGGAAAACAAGCGUGAUAAAAAGUUUAAAAAAAAAGUGAAAUUUAAAAUUUUAAAAAUUUAAAAUUUAAAAUUUAACACUGAA